rnacentral:rRNA from 1 species
UACGGAGGGGGCAAGCGUUAUUCGGAAUUAUUGGGCGUAAAGGGCGCGUAGGCGGCUUUGCAAGUGACGGGUGAAAUCCCUCGGCUUAACCGAGGAACUGCCUGUCAAACUGCAUGGCUUGAGACCGGGAGAGGUGAGUGGAAUUCCCAGUGUAGCGGUGAAAUGCGUAGAUAUUGGGAGGAACACCAGUGGCGAAGGCGGCUCACUGGACCGGUACUGACGCUGAUGCGCGAAAGCGUGGGGAGCAAACAGGG